GGGAAAUCACAUUUUUCAUCAGUUUCAGAAUAAAACCCAGUGAUAGCUAUCAACUGCAGCUUACAUGCAUAGCUCCCAGCCCAAGGGCUAUGAAUAAGUACAAAAAAUAUUGAUUCAUGCAUUAAAAAAAUAAAAAAGGAAUAUUUCAAUGCCUGGACAAAAUAUAUGUACGUAACCAAAAAAGUAUAACUUGGUUGUUUAAUCAUGUAAAAUGAUGCAUUUCAAAUGUAAUUUGUAGCAAAAGGUAAGGGAGCUUUACCAAAACAUGAACUGGCUUAUCCUUUAAUGAAAACCUGUUCGCAAAAGACUUGAUCUCGGUGAUAGAUGAAAGAUCGCACAGCUGCAAGCUAAAAUUAAUUAGCAAUUUUAAGAGCAAAACACAAGGGGAAAAAGUUUGCAGCCAAAUACCAAAUUGGCAAUUACAAAAAUUUGAGAAUUUAAUGAAGCUCUGAUUCACAGAAGCAGUAUUAAAGAGAUACAUCAAAGAGUAAAUUAAGAAGGAAGAAGAAUACCUCCAGAUGAACAUUUUCAUUGCCUGUCUUAGAUCGAAUUGCAGAAAGAGCAGUUUCUCCUUUCUCUUUACUGCGACAAACCAUAUAGACAGUGGCCCCACUGAAGAGACAUUCAACAACAAAUGUCAGCUGCAAAAUAUUUUGUCUAAGAACAACCAGCAAUAUUUAUCAAGCACGCCAGCAUUGUUAACCUAAUGUAGUAAAGGACAGGGAAAUCACAUUUUUCAUCAGUUUCAGAAUAAAACCCAGUGAUAGCUAUCAACUGCAGCUUACAUGCAUAGCUCCCAGCCCAAGGGCUAUGAAUAAGUACAAAAAAUAUUGAUUCAUGCAUUAAAAAAAUAAAAAAGGAAUAUUUCAAUGCCUGGACAAAAUAUAUGUACGUAACCAAAAAAGUAUAACUUGGUUGUUUAAUCAUGUAAAAUGAUGCAUUUCAAAUGUAAUUUGUAGCAAAAGGUAAGGGAGCUUUACCAAAACAUGAACUGGCUUAUCCUUUAAUGAAAACCUGUUCGCAAAAGACUUGAUCUCGGUGAUAGAUGAAAGAUCGCACAGCUGCAAGCUAAAAUUAAUUAGCAAUUUUAAGAGCAAAACACAAGGGGAAAAAGUUUGCAGCCAAAUACCAAAUUGGCAAUUACAAAAAUUUGAGAAUUUAAUGAAGC
rnacentral:lncRNA from 1 species